UCGCCUCUGCAAGACAAGUGGGGCGCCGGCUGUCAGCCUUGCAGGCCUUUGAGGCACGGCGGGUGCGUGCAGGCCGCCGAGGCCAUUCUGAGAGCCGGGUCUCUGGUUCGGUUGCGGGUGAGGCGCUCACUCCUCUGGCCUUGCCUCCUGGCUGUGGGGACUUCCACGGUCAGCAGCCCCCUCCUGCCCUUCCCCAGGCCACCAGCCCCAGGGGCACACCGGCCCCGUCCUCAUCCUGCGUGAGUCCUGUCCAGGCAGGAAAGGCGCUCUCCCUCCACGUUUUGGGGUGAUGCGGGGACCUCCCCCAAGAGGCCGCGGGAGCUUGAUCUGUGGGGCUGUGAGGGUGGCACAGGCCAGACAGCUGUGGUGGUUUGGAAACAGAAACGCACCAUGUCCCUGCUCUGCCCGUGGCCCGUGUUGCUCGUUUCAGAAGUGAGUGCCGGGGACCUGAGCCUAUGAGACGUAAAGCGGAACUUACUCCUUGAGCAGGACUGGGCCGGGGCCCGGGCUCCAGAGGCACCUUCAGGGGUCCUUAACCCCAAGGGACCCUGCAGGGACUCCCGUCCUGAGAGAGUCCCUGCGUUCCUAACACCCCUGCCCUGGCACCCCCGUCAGUAGACACGACAGGCUGGGUGGGCAGGCAGGCACGUCCCGAGAUGUCCCAACUGUGCUCACGUCCUAGCCCGCCACCCGAGAUCAAGGUCGGGUCACCGUCUGUGAACCGAGGACCAGAGCCUGCCUCCCAGACAGCCGGGGUGACAGUCCUGUACUGGAAGGACAGGGACCUUUUCAGCAGGGCCCUAAAUGUAAACUCUCGCAAGCGGACAGAAGAGGAAACCCCAAAAACCUGGAAUCUGAAAAGCAGAGGCACCCGUGGAAACUGAGCAGACCUGAGAAAGCGGGACCCCAGGCCAGCAACGGGGAGGCCAGACGCUCGGGUGGGGGGCCGGGCCCUUUGCACACGCGCUGCCUCACAGGCGGCCAACGGCUCGGGAAACGGGUCCAGAAAGAGCAGGGUCCAGGAAGUAGAGUGGAGCGGAGGAAACAAGUGUCCACACCUCCCCGAGGAAGAGCAGGCUUCCAGCGGCCCCCCGGGCCGGCCGGGCGGGAAACCCCCAGCAGGCCUGGGCGGCCGUGCGCAAAGCAUGCGGACGUGACGUGAGGCAGGCCUCCACGUGGCAGGGGAGGGGACUUGGGGACAGAGAAGGGAGACGCGGGCUCUCAGGACCGGCGUCCCAGACGCGCCAAGGAGUAAACAGGUGGCAGGAGGUGGGUGCAGAAGCGCCACCAGUGCCGGGGAGGCUGGCCGGGCACGGGCCACACGCUCCUCCCUUCUGCUGGCCGCCAGGGCACCGGCAUGCCCGCCGUCGGAGCUGGGAGCGCGGUAGGGGCGGGGGCCACUCACCGUGUCUCACGACGGUCACCCGCACUUUGGAGGUCCCGUUGCCCGCAGAGGACAGGACGGAGCAGCGGUACUCGGCGCUUUCUCGGAUGGCGUCUCGCAGCCAGCUGAGCACAUGGGCCCUGCCAUCGGGCAGCGCGUGGGUCUGCAUGGGGACGCACAUCUCCAGUUCUCGGCCGUUCUUCUCCCAGACAAAGCGGACGUCUGCGGGCCCUGGGGACACACACACCAUCUCUACCUGGUGGCCCCCGGACUCCCACCGAGGACCCAUGGGAACCAGGGUGGGGACAGGCGGUGUGGAGCCACCCACGCCAGGGGCCUCUGUUGUCUCAGCCGGACCUACGGUGAGGGGCAGGACAGCUUUCAUGCCAGUCCUUGUGUCCCCGGAGGAGGCGUGUGCCCCCGUGACCCCGGGAGAAGAGGUGGGCCCUCACUGCCCCUUCACCUCAGAUGUUCUUUCAAACCAAAACUUGGUGCCGUGCAGCACACGCUGAGGCCGUCAGGGGGCACCUCCCCCAUGGAGUGCCCGGUGACCGUGCCCUGGGCCAGGCGUCCAUCCUGCACGGAGGGUCUGUGCCUGGGAACUCCACCUCCCGGCCCUGCUCCCAUCUGUGACCAGAACCUCUGCUUCCAUGGGGGCCGCCCCUGCCUCCCCAGAACCUAAGUUGGGGGCAGGGCACCGAGAAGGGCCGAAGACCCCUCCGUCCCCACCGCCCCCUCCUCUCUGCCUGUGCCAGGCGGCACGGCACCAGGGGGUGGGCUGUGAGCCGACCUAGACCAAAGCCAGCCCCUCCUGACCAUGAUCUCCCUGAGAGCCCUGUUUCUAAAAU